GACGAACGCUGGCGGCGUGCCUAAUACAUGCAAGUCGAACGCUUAUUUCCUCCCGAGUGCUUGCACUCGAUUGGAAAGAGGAGUGGCGGACGGGUGAGUAACACGUGGGUAACCUACCCAUCAGAGGGGGAUAAUACUUGGAAACAGGUGCUAAUACCGCAUAACAGUUUAUGCCGCAUGGCAUAAGAGUGAAAGGCGCUUUCGGGUGUCGCUGGUGGAUGGACCCGCGGUGCAUUAGCUAGUUGGUGAGGUAACGGCUCACCAAGGCAACGAUGAAUAGACGACAUGAGAGGGUGAUCGGCCACACUGGGGAUGAGACACGGCCCAGACUCCUACGGGAGGCAGCAGUAGGAAAUCUUCGACAAUGGACGAAAGUCUGACCGAGCAACGCCGCGUGAGUGAAAAAGGUUUUCGGAUCGUAAAACUCUAUUGUUAGAGAAGAACAAGGACGUUAGUAACUGGACGUCCCCUGACGGUAUCUAACCAGAAAGCCACGGCUAACUACGUGCCAGCAGCCGCGGUAA
rnacentral:rRNA from 1 species